GCUUGCGUAGCUCAAUCGGCGAGAGCAUAGGACUCUUAGAUGUCUUCAGAUUCAUCCUAAGGUUGCGGGUAAGUUUGUCGCCCGUCGUAGGAU